UGACCUCCUCUCUGAAGGUCCCCAGCAGUGUGUGUUGUGUGGUCAGCUGGCAUAUGAGGAGUGUGUGGACUGCUUCAGAGACCCAGUCUUCAGCAGGACAGGAUUUAAAGUGUUCUGCAGGACCUGCUCCUCUCAGGUGCACUCUCACCCCGAGCGGCUGUCCCACAGCCCCUCCCCCCUGCAGCUCCCUGAGGGUUACCCUGCCCACACUACCCUCCGACCCCCACCCCCUGCCCCACCCAGAGAGAGACUGGAGCUGUUUGCAGUGCUGUGCAUAGAGACCAGUCACUAUGUCUCCUUCAUCAAACAUGGACCAAACAGCACAGACUGGAUCUUCUUUGACAGCAUGGCUGACAGACAU